rnacentral:rRNA from 1 species
GUCCCAGACUCCUACGGGAGGCAGCAGUGGGGAAUAUUGCACAAUGGGGGAAACCCUGAUGCAGCGACGCCGCGUGAGCGAUGAAGUAUUUCGGUAUGUAAAGCUCUAUCAGCAGGGAAGAAGAUGACGGUACCUGACUAAGAAGCCCCGGCUAACUACGUGCCAGCAGCCGCGGUAAUACGUAGGGGGCAAGCGUUAUCCGGAUUUACUGGGUGUAAAGGGAGCGUAGACGGCAGUGCAAGUCUGAAGUGAAAGGCGGGGGCCCAACCCCCGAACUGCUUUGGAAACUGUGCUGCUGGAGUGCAGGAGAGGCAAGUGGAAUUCCUAGUGUAGCGGUGAAAUGCGUAGAUAUUAGGAGGAACACCAGUGGCGAAGGCGACGUUCUGGACGGUACCUGACGCUGAGGCGCGAAAGCGUGGGGAGCGAACGGGAUUAGAUACCCCCGUAUAU